CAGAUUGUGACUGAAAACACAGAGCAGAGGUUUCUGCCAUCUUUCCUGCUACCGUGGCUCCCCGGCUGCCUGCAAAGCUGUGGAGGGGGCUCUGGCAGGGGUAAGUGCUCCCCACAGCAUGGGAAAGUUCUGCCUUUUUAGAGGGGAUUGGGAAGAGGGGAAGGGCAUCAGAGACAAUGAUUACAGGCCCUUACAGGGGACACAAGGCUGCAGCUGGGUGAGAUAGCUGAGCUGAGGGCUCCCUAUGCUUCGAGUCCUGCUCCUCCUGUUGCUCCUCAUUCCAGUGUCCAGAUGAGUGAACCACAUCAGCUUGUUGAACAGGUGGUAAGCAGAAGCGAGAGGUGUUUGGGAAUGGCAAUGACAGUUGGGAAGAAGUCCCCAGCAGAGGUGCCCUGCUUUGCUUCAGGACUCCCAGCAUCUCCUGCAAGGCUGGAACACAGAGAGAACAGAGCGGAAGUUAUGUUUCUGAACAAGAGAUUGCCGGUGCUGCAGUGCCAAACUUUCCUUUUUGCAUUCAUUGCACUGAUCUGCAGAGACCUUCAUGAGCAGAGCAGCCAUGGAUGGGCAUAACUAGUAAUACUGCUAGAGCCUGCAUGGUUAUGUGCCUUGUACCAGCUGCAAACCAUCCCUGAUACAUGCCCAAGCCCAGCAUGACCUCCUGGAGCUACACAACGAUGGGGACAGGCACCUUUCCAGGUCAGGCAGUUCUGCAACAGUAAGGCCAUCCUCAUCAUCUAACCUGACUGGUGACACAACAGCACUGAAGUCCUUUCUGGCAAUGGGGAUAUGUCUGACUCCAGGACUGGGGAUGCAUGGUGCUGGCACAGCAGACACACAGCCUGGCACCAGAGGCAGCAUGAGCUGUUGUCACCUCCCAUGCCAUUUGUACUGUAUUCUGUGCUGCACUGUGUCUGGCUGGGAUGGAGUUAACUCUCUUCUGCCAGCCCAUAUUACACUGUUUGGGAUCUGUAAGAAAAGCAGGGUUGAUAACACCCUGGUAUGUUAGCUGUUGCUGAGCAGAGUCUACACAGUGUGAAGGCCAUUUCUUUUUCCACAUGAGUAAGCUGGACACCAACACACAUCGCCUUCCCCAGCUUUCAGGAUCCGCACUUUGACUGGGGAUCCCUGUGUGGCCAUGUGCAGACAGUUGCUCCUGCGUGCUGUUCUUCAGCAGUGAUACAGGGAUGACUUAGCAAAAUCAGCUUUUUGACAGCGUUUCCUCCUGAUCAGCUCAGCCCAAUGGGUGCUGCCAGCUCUGCAGAGACUCCAGCUGGAAGCAGCACGUGUGCUCCCAGAAGCUUGCUGGAGAGUAGCUAUUGCCCCCACAGCGCUGCUGGACAGGAAUUCAUAGGAUCCCAGCACUGCUGGGAUGGGAAAGGCCCCCCCGGCCCCACCCCUGCCAUGUGCUGGCUGCCCCCCAGCUCAGGCUGCCCAGGGCCCAGCCAUGGCCUCGGGCACCUGCAGGGAUGGGGCACCCACAGCUCUGGGCAGCAGUGCUGGGGCUGCACUGCCCUGCUGCUCCCACCACUGCCCCAGCAGGACAGUUUGAAAUGCUGAGAUGCAGGUGGUAGUGACACUGCCUGCAAAGUCUGAACACAGCUGCUUAAUGGGACCAUGCAAAUGAGACCUGUUCCCAAAGUGCCCACAGUGCAAUGGGACUGUGAUGGACGUGAAUUUCAAAG
ensembl:lncRNA